rnacentral:rRNA from 1 species
CCUACGGGAGGCAGCAGUCGAGAAUCAUUCACAAUGGGGGAAACCCUGAUGGUGCGACGCCGCGUGGGGGAAUGAAGGUCUUCGGAUUGUAAACCCCUGUCAUGUGGGAGCAAAUUAAAAAGAUAGUACCACAAGAGGAAGAGACGGCUAACUCUGUGCCAGCAGCCGCGGUAAUACAGAGGUCUCAAGCGUUGUUCGGAAUCACUGGGCGUAACGCGUGCGUAGGCUGUUUCGUAAGUCGUGUGUGAAAGGCGCGGGCUCAACCCGCGGACGGCACAUGAUACUGGGAGACUAGAGUAAUGUAGGGGGAACCGGAAUUCUCGGUGUAGCAGUGAAAUGCGUAGAUAUCGAGAGGAACACUCGUGGCGAAGGCGGGUUCCUGGACAUUAACUGACGCUGAGGCACGAAGGCCAGGGGAGCGAAAGGGAUUAGAUACCCUGGUAGUC